GCUAAACGCGCCAGGGGCUGGGGAGCCGCCGGGGUGACGGAGUUUGCUUUGUAAAUCCUUGGGUGUCAGCGUGCCUAAAGGACAUCAUUUUCCCCAAACCCAAGACAGCCUGGCUGGGAUUCCACUUAAAGACUCCAUUUAAAUAGUCUUGGGCAUCCAGUACACGUGAGACACAGAUUUCUGUAGUCACUUUCCAGAGCUGCAAAAUUUCCGCUUUCAUUUUAUAGGAGGAAAAAAAAAGAGCUCCAGUUAAUGAUUUGGUCGGAGACAUACAGCCGAUAACCCAGAUUACCAGUGCUAGUGUCUAAGGAUUCUCCUGUAAUUCUGUUUUCAUUGACUCUUAUCUUACCAUUUUUAGAAAACAAUUGUGUGGACACAAUAUAGUUAAGAAUCUUUCUAAAUAGCUGUGUAUUUGAAGAAACAUCAGCCCAAUUGAAAAUUUUGGCAUUUACUUUGACUAUCGAUAUAAUACAAUGUUCUGUAAAGUAAAAUAUUUUUAGCUCAAAAUUGUCUUAAUAUUUUGAAAUGAGAGUCCUGCAAGCCUGUUAUCCUAUGUGUCCAUCCAUGCUGUUUCCAAAGUUGAGCAUCUCAAGAAGCUUGGAAGCCUAAGUUGACUAUGUGUAGGAUGGGAAUUUUUUCAAUCCAGUUGUGGACCUUUUUUUUUUUCUUUACUUUAACAUUUAAAUAUACUUGAGCUGUGGCUUAUUCUUUCAAAGUUCUGCUCUAGCACUAAAUAUCUGCCUGAAUGCCUCCAUACUUCUUGUCAUGAUGAUAAUGGAUUAAACUUCUGAACUGUAAGCCAAUCCCAAUUAAAUGUUUUCUUUUAUAAGAGUUGCCAUGGUCACAGUGUCUCUUCACAGCAAUAAAACCCUUAAGUAAGACAAUGCUAUUAUGCUUAUGGAAAUUUGUUGUGUAGUAACAAAAAAUAUAUUGUAUUAUGUCUAAAACCCUCCCAUGGUUCUUUAAUAUAUUUGGCAUUAGAUUAUUAUCUUCUAUCAAUAUAGAAUAUGACUGUGAAUCAUUGUCAGCUUUUCUGCCUCUGACUUGAUCAAC
rnacentral:lncRNA from 1 species